UCUUGUCUCUGGGUCUGUCUCUUUACUGGCCUACUGGAGUCUCAAACACAGUGACUCUCCCUACACAUGGGACAAGCCUGCAGCACCAUCCCUGCCUUUACUUCCUAUUAAGUUCAUGAUUUUGGAGGAAAGAGAUACUUAUUUACCCCAUUCCCACCCCUGACUACUGUGCUCUUAAAAAUCCUGGGAGUACUGUAAUUGGCCCAGUACCUUACAUGGACUGAAGUAAGGGGGCUGGACUACUUCUGAUUGAUGCUACAAUGGCCAUGCCUAGUUCUCAUCCACUGGGAUUAACUGGAAGGAGACAUAAUUAUGGGAAUUAAAGAGAUCUACUGUUUAUUGAGCUUGUCCUUCAACACCAGAAAUGUGUUCUGAAGCACAGGACAGGCAGACAGUGAGUAAAGAAGACAUUUUGAGACACAGACUACAAGUGAUUUUGAUGGUUGUGAGUCUUAGAUGCAUAUACUGCGAUAUGAAACUCUACCCUUAACUCCCCUGCGUCUCAGUUUCCUGAUGUGGAGAGCGGGCAGUGCACCUCUAAGGCUGUGUUAGUUUGCCUAAAGCUUCACGGCUGACCUCACGCUCCUUCGUCACCCCAGCCUUCAUGUGCAGUUCCAUCCUCGACUUCUCAGGAGGAUACUGUGCUCAUCUGGACUCCUGAAAGUGAAAGGUCCAGAACCUUCAGGAAGAAUUCCCACACUGCAGCUUAACACAUUCCUUUCAUUCUGGCUUUAAAAAGUGCCGAAAGGAAGGCCUGGAUUUCCAUCUCCUCUAAUUCAUUUGCAUUAUGCAAUUUAGUGAUCAACCUUUUGUGAUUGGAAUUUCAAAUAAUUUUAAAUCUUGCCGUUUGUGACUUGAGACCUGCCUGGCAUCAAGACAGAACAUCCCAGUGCUUCUGUCUAGACCAGGAUUAGAGGUCAAAAUCUGAAGAAUUGUUUCCACUGGCUGUGUGAUGCCUUUGCACUAUCAUGACUUUUCAAAAGCUUCAACUCAAACCAUGCGUACGUUGGAGAACAUUGGAGGACCAUCUGAGCCGCUAAGGCCGCUACCCACAAUGCCUCUCUGUCUAUGGAACUGAACGCUCAAGUUAUCUGCUCCAGACAUACAGUGUUGAGGUACCUUAUAAUAAUGGGCACAUGAUGUCUCUGCUGACACCUGGGAAUGCUACACUGUUUGGGUGGGACAUGUGUGAGUGGGACAUGACACUGAUGAACACCCUGAGAGUUGUUGGACAGUGGGGGACAUUAGGUACCAAGACACAGAGUCAGAGCAGACACUUGGAGAGGAAUAUAUGACAGGCAGGAAAAAACAACAAGCCUGAAAACAGCCAACCCAUGUUCUCACUGUAUUUGAGCUAAACCUACCAUGGAGGUUUCAGAGAGGAAGACAUCUGAGCCAUGGGUCAUUAAUACAACCCAGGAAAACCAACUAGAAACAAUCAAUCCAACAUUGAGGGUCAAAAAUAUUGUCAUCAAGGUGCAUAAAUGAGCCAAGGACCACAUCUGUUCAGAAAUGAGUGAUUGACCCUUGAUGAAGUGUUUCCUCGUGCCUUCUGCCACAGUGAGAACUAGCCCCUGAAGUGAGGCUCUUCAGGUGAUGGGAGCGUCAAAGCAGGUUGUGCUAUACUGUGUUUUCUGCUGCAGAAGCCCAUUUAGGGUUUUCUCUUUCGCUACCUAAUGAGAUGUUUUAGACUAAUUACAGGCUUCCCACAACUUUUUGAAAGACAGGAGCAGUGUUCAAAAAACAAAUUAUGGUGAGGAUGUCAUGCCAGGAAGAAAGAAAUAAGACGCCACCUGGUCCCCAAAACUUGGUAUGAAAAAAAAAAUAGAGACCAAAAUACACUUCAUCCCAUUGGUGAAGGAAGUCUCUCCUAAGUAAAUGCUAGACUAGGAUAGUUUCAAAAACACAUACCUUACAGGAAAACCUGACUGCUCAAAGACUAGUUGGCUGCCAGCCACCAUGCGCUAUAUUUGAAUUGAAAUUUCCAAUGAAAUCCCUUCUAAAACUCGUGUAAGAACUUCUGCGUUGGUUGUGAACUUUCACUACCCAGUGGAGCCACUACCCUGAGGCCUGUUGAGUCUGUGGAUUAUUUAUAGGCUGGUCCAUAAUUUGCAUCAUAUUUGCAUAUUGUAAAUAUUUGCACACGUGGGUGUUUUGCCUGCCUAUAUAUCUGUGCACCACUUGCAUGCCUGAUACCCAAGGAAGCCAAAAGAGACUGUCAUAACCCCUGGAACUGGAGCCACAGAUGGUUGUGAGCCACCAUUUGGGUGCUGGGAAUCCAACCUGAGUCCUAUGGAAGAAUAGUCAGUGCUUCUAACUGCUGAGCCACCCUCCAGCCCCAUCAACAUCAUGGCUGUUUGAUAUAAUACUCUUAUCUGAUAUAUUUGAAAACAGUGUGUGUAAUCCUAUUUCUCUCUAAAUCUUUGCGGUAAAAGAGAAAUUGAUGCUAUCUGUUCUAACUUCCUGGUUUUUUCAUUACUCUUCAAAGAGAAAUAGGGAAAGGACAAAAAGGAAGAGGAACUGCUAACACUCAAGGUAAACUUACAGCCAAAGAGACCACCUCAGCAUAUAUCUGUAAUUUGCUAGGAAGACUCCAUGUGCAGGCUUCCACAAUCAAUUGUUUGGGUUCUUUAAUUGAAUGCAUGUGUCCAAAGAUAAAGUGUUUGGGUUCAGAGGGCAGGGGAUUCAUUAGAAGAAGUUCCUAAUAAAAGUGAUUCAAUCUU